rnacentral:rRNA from 1 species
GGAAGGAUCAUUACAGGAAUACUGGAGUAGUGCUGGCUUUGCAGGUGCACACUCUCUUUUCCAUCCCACAUACCCCUGUGCACCUUUGAUGUCCGAGUCGCUGUCUUGAUUUGAUGGCAAAAGGGCAUGCUCUUUAUACAAUCUUUUUGAUAAUGAUGAAUGUUGUCCCAUAAUUAGUAUAACUAUCAACAACGGAUCUCUUGGCAUUCCACUCGAUGAAGAACGCAGCGAAUUGCGAUAAGUAAUGUGAAUUGCAGAACACAGUGAAUCAUCGAAUCUUUGAACGCACCUUGCACUCUUCAGUUCUCUGAAGAGUAUACUCGGUUGAGUGUUAUGAAUAUCUUCAAACCCACCAUUUAUUUUUGAGGGGUUCUGAGACUUGCAUGCUUGUUGGCUUGAUUGGCCAACUCAUGUGAAAUGCAUUAGCUGGGUCCUCUGUGAGGGAUUACAAUGCCUUCUUGAUCAACAGUGUUAUAAGUUUUCUUUCAUUGUUACAAGUUGUGUUCACUAUUCCUCCUCUUGAUCUGCUUCUAACUGUCAUGAACUUGACUCACACUCUACACAUUUUGCCUCAACUCGAGUAGGAUUACCCACUGAACUUAAGCAUAUCAAUAAGUGGAGGAAAAGAAACUAACAAGGAUUCCCUUAGUAACGGCGAGUGAAGCGGGAAGAGCUCAAAUUUGAAAUCUGGCAGUCUUUGGCUGUCCGAGUUGUCAUCUAGAGAAGUGUAUUCCGUGCCAGACCUACCAUAAGUUAUCUUGAAUGAUACAUCAGAGAGGGUGACAAUCCCGUUCUUGGAUAGGACUGCUGGUGCUCUGAGAUUCACUCUCAACGAGUCGAGUUGUUUGGGAAUGCAGCUCAAAAUGGGAGGUAAAUUCCUUCUAAAGCUAAAUACAUUGGAAUGACCGAUAGCGAACAAGUACCGUGAGGGAAAGAUGAAAAGCACUUUGGAAAGAGAGUCAAACAGUACGUGAAAUUGUUGGUAGGGAAACACUUGAAGUCAGUCUUGUCUUCUGGGACUCAGCCUUGCUUCUGUGAGGUGUAUUUCCUAGUUUGAUGGGCCAGCGUCCAUGUUGACUGUUGGAAAAGGGCAGAGUGAAUGUGGCAGUCUCCGGACUGUGUUAUAGCUCUCUGUCACAUACAGGCAGUUGAUAUGGAUCAAACAGCAUGCCUUUUUGGUGGUGCUUGUGUUGGCAUAAUGGCUUUAAAUGACCCGUCUUGAAACACGGACCAAGGAGUCUAUCUUACCUGCAACUCUUUGGGUGGAAAACCCAUGGGCAUAAUGAAAGUGAUAGUUGGGAAUCUGGUUCUACUGGAGGCACCAACACCCGCCGCAGAGGUUUACCAAUGCUGGCGAGGUAGAGCAUGUAGGAUGGGACCCGAAAGAUGGUGAACUAUGCCUGCAUAGGGUAAAGCCAGGGGAAACUCUGGUGGAGGCUCGUAGCGAUUCUGACGUGCAAAUCGAUCGUCAAAUGUGGGUAUAGGGGCGAAAGACUAAUCGAACCAUCUAAUGGCUGGUUCCUGCCGAAGUUUCCCUCACGAUA